UACGUAGGGGGCAAGCGUUGUCCGGAAUUAUUGGGCGUAAAGAGCUCGUAGGCGGUUUGUUGCGUCGGCUGUGAAAUCCCAAGGCUCAACCUCGGGUCUGCAGUCGAUACGAGCAAACUAGAGUGUUGCAGGGGAGACUGGAAUUCCUGGUGUAGCGGUGAAAUGCGCAGAUAUCAGGAGGAACACCAAUGGCGAAGGCAGCACUCUGGGACGUGACUGACGCUGAGACGCGAAAGCGUGGGGAGCAAACAGG
rnacentral:rRNA from 1 species